GAUAAUAACAGAGAGUAGCAGCAGAGAUGAGAGUAGCAGCAGAGAUAAUAACAGAGAGUAGCAGCAGAGAUAAUAACAGAGAGUAGCAGCAGAGAUAAUAACAGAGAGUAGCAGCAGAGAUAAUAACAGAGAGUAGCAGCAGAGAUGAGAGUAGCAGCAGAGAUAAUAACAGGGACUAGCAGCAGAGAUAAUAACAGAGUAGCAGCGUAGAAGAUAAUAACGAGUUCAGCUUCUAGGUGUUCCUUCCUGUUACCAUAGCAAGAUUUAUGUGAUGCCUCCGCUGAUCUGUGAGAGAUGCUGUGAGGUGGAGAUGUCACUAGAGUUUCACCUGAGAGAUGCUGUGAGGUGUAGACGUCACUAGAGUUUCACCUGAGAGAUGCUGUGAGGUGUAGACAUCACUAGAGUUUCACCUGAGAGAUGCUGUGAGGUGGAGACGUCACUAGAGUUUCACCUGAGAGGUGCUGUGAGGUGGAGACGUCACUAGAGUUUCACCUGAGAGGUGCUGUGAGGUGGAGACGUCACUAGAGUUUCACCUGAGAGAUGCUGUGAGGUGGAGACGUCACUAGAGUUUCACCUGAGAGAUGCUGUGAGGUGGAGACGUCACUAGAGUUUCACCUGAGAGAUGCUGUGAGGUGGAGAUGUUACCAGAGUUUCACCUGAGAGAUGCUGUGAGGUGUAAAUCAUCAUGGGUUCAUCAUCUGAAAUAGAAUAUAGAUCGUAUAUACAGUAUAUGUGUGAUAGAUUCAUCUGUUUUGACCACAUCUCACUACUGUAUUGCUCUUGCUAUGCUACUGUAGUAGCUGUAUAGUAGAGAUAGUGUAUAGCAUUACUGUACAGCGACCUCUGCUCUCCCCAGCUAAGUGGAUGAGAAAGAGUAGCAUUACACUAUUUUAUACAUUGAUUCUAAUAUGGUACCUAUGGAACAGCAGCGGUAGAAACUAGAGAUGAGACCCAGUUAACCAGAGAGACCUAUGGAACAGCAGCGGUAGAAACUAGAGAUGAGACCCAGUUAACCAGAGAGACCUAUGGAACAGCAGCGGUAGAAACUAGAGAUGAGACCCAGUUAACCAGAGAGACCUAUGGAACAGCAGCGGUAGAAACUAGAGAUGAGACCCAGUUAACCAGAGAGACCUAUGGAACAGCAGCGGUAGAAACUAGAGAUGAGACCCAGUUAACCAGAGAGACCUAUGGAACAGCAGCGGUAGAAACUAGAGAUGAGACCCAGUUAACCAGAGAGACCUAUGGAACAGCAGCGGUAGAAACUAGAGAUGAGACCCAGUUAACCAGAGAGACCUAUGGAACAGCAGCGGUAGAAACUAGAGAUGAGACCUAUGGAACAGCAGCGGUAGAAACUAGAGAUGAGACCUAUGGAACAGCAGCGGUAGAAACUAGAGAUGAGACCUAUGGAACAGCAGCGGUAGAAACUAGAGAUGAGACCUAUGGAACAGCAGCGGUAGAAACUAGAGAUGAGACCUAUGGAACAGCAGCGGUAGAAACUAGAGAUGAGACCCAGUAGUGUGUGUUAGUGAGAGAUAAUCUAAAAUGUUCUAGGUGUUUUACAUCUACUAUAUAUAUUUGACUGAGGACGAUCUCUGUAGUUGAUUGCAGCAUGAAAUCCACUCUGUCGGUCACAAGAAAAGCGAUUUGCUCGUCACAUUUCACUCUUAGAUGUCGUUAGCUAGCUACGUGUGGCGUAUGUUAGGAAUAUUUCUCGAUGUAUAUGUGGGGACCGUGAAAUACGAACAUAGUUUGUUUUCGUCAUGGUUCGUCAUCGAUCUGUAUCCCUCCUCGUUCAUUCGUCGUGUUCUGUAUGUUGAUGAUGCUGUGGGCAACGGUGCAUUGAAGUGCUGCUUUCUUUACUAGAAAUCACUUUUUAUUUUUACACUUUAUUUUAAUUUUAUUUUUUACUUUUUUGGAGAGUCUCUUCUGACAGCUAAAACACUUAAAGAGCUGUUACACAAGUGCAGUCAAUGAGUAGUUAAUAAUUGAUUACAGUGCGACGACUUUCCCCCCCUCCGUGUAAUAUGCACUCUUAUCACUAUUGGUAAAUCACUCUAAAUAUGUACUGUAUCAUAGCAGCCAGCUGAUAACAUGUCUGUUACUAAGCAACUUCAAAAUAAACCAGAUGGCUUAUUAAUAUUAUUAUUAUUAUUAUUAUUCAUCUGAGUUCAUUAUUUCCACCUUCUCCAUGUACAAAAAAAACAAUAACAAAAAAGUUUAGAGAGGAAUAAGAAUCAGGAUUUUUAUCGAAUGCAAUUUUAUGUUGUCAGGCUAUCAUUUUAAAGAAAAGGGUGCAUUUCUUCUCCAGAGUGAAAUGAACUGUAUAAAGUAUUUAUGCAAUUAUUAACUGGGUUUUUAAUUUUGUGUUUAUUAUUAUUUUUCUGUCAGGAAGUUGUUACGUGUUUUGUGUGGAUUAACACAACUGACUUUGUGUCCAGUUGCAUUGUACAUGUUUUAACUGCAUUAUUUUUAGGGUUUAUUUUAAUAAUUUUUUUCGUGAUUUUUUUUCUUCUUUUUCUCAACGCAUUUGAGUUGUUUUAAGCCAUUAUUAACCCCCCAAGCGAUAGGUCGGUGUACAGUUACGAUGGGAGUGCUGGAGAUGUGCCCCAACUCUGGGUGGCCUUUUUGUAUUCUUUAUGGGAGAAAAAAAAAUAAGGACUGAUCAAAUUUAAAUAAUGUAUUAUUUUGAUGGUCUUGUAUUAGACUGCAUUACUACAGUAUCUAGUGUGCAAUCUGUGAUGAUAGCUGAAUGUUCAUUGUAUAUAUGUGUUCAGUACAACAAUGAGAAGAACCGUAGAAUAACCCCUACAGAAACUGUAACAAUAAUACAAUAGAUCUGGUACGUAUCAUUUCAUUAAAUACUUGCUGUUUACCACCAAUUA